UACGUAGGGGGCAAGCGUUGUCCGGAUUUAUUGGGCGUAAAGCGCACGCAGGCGGUCUCUUAAGUUUCGAGUGACAGGUCAGGGCUUAACCCUGACAGGCCUUGGAAAACUGGGGGACUUGAGGGCUUCAGAGGGACGCGGAAUUCCAGGUGGAGCGGUGAAAUGCGUAGAUAUCGGAAGGAACACCGGUGGCGAAAGCGACGUGCUGGACCUCUUCUGACGCUGGAGGCGCGAAAGCCAGGGGAGCAAACGGG
rnacentral:rRNA from 1 species